CGCAAAGAGCCGACCACGACGAUGAGACCACGGGCGGAGUCCAGGGGAAGCAGCAAGGCAUCCCAGCCUCAGGCCUGCCCGGACGGUGUUCGGAUAUAUAUAUAUGGAAAAGAGAAGGUCCAAGAAUAUCAAAGACAUUGAAGAAGAGGAAAGAUUUGUCCUGCCAAAUAUCAGAACUUUUAUAAAGCUACAGCAAUUAAGACAGUGUGGUCCUCACUGAUAAACUGACUAAUGAAACAGAAUAGAGAGCUCCCAAGCAAAUCUCUACAAAUUUAAUCUUCGAUACGUGAUGUAGGUGACAUGGCAGAUCAGUAAGGAAAGAAAGGACUUUUCAAUAAAUAGAAUAGAAAAAUAAUGGUUAUUGAUAUAAGAAACAAAAUGAAAUUAUAUUCCUACUUCACUCUAUAUACAAACAUUAAAUUCCAGAGGACCAAAGACUUACAUGUCAGAAACAAAACUUUAAAACUUUUAGUAGAAAAUGUAAGUGAAUGGGACACAAAAAGCCAUUUAACCAUUAAAAAAGAUUAGACAUUUUGACUAUCACAAAAUUAAGAACUUUUUACAUCAAAAAGUGGAAAGAUAGGCUGGUCACAGUGUCUCAAUCCUGUAAUCCCAAUAGUAUAUCACCUGAGGUCAGGAGUUUGAGAGCAGGCUGGCCAACAUGGUGAAACCCCAUCUCUACUAAAAAUACAAGAAAUUAGCUGGGCAUCAGUGGCAGACACCUGUAGUCCAAGCUACUUGGGAAGCUGAGGCAUGAGAAUCAUCUCAACCCAGGAGGUGGAGGUUGCAGUGAGCCACUGCACUCCAGCCUGAAUGACAGAGCCAGACUCUGUCUCAAAAACAAAAAAAUUGAAAUUAAAAAAUAAAAGUAAAAAAGUCAAAAGAUAAACUAUAAAUUAGAGAAGAUAUUUGCAGUACCUAAAACCUAUGAAAGAUUAAUAUCAUAUCAACUAAGCAUAAGGAGCUCCUAUGAAUUAAUUUUAAAAAUAGCAACCCAACAGAAAAUUGGGAAAAGACAUUAAUAGGGAUUUCACAAAAGAGAAAGCUUGCAAAACAUAAAAAUUUUCUCAACCUCAUUAGUAAUCAGGGAAAUGCACAAGAUACUACACACCUAUUCUCUCCACAAAUAUUAAGAAGUUUGACAAUACCAAAUGUAUUAGUCCAUAUUCACACUGCUGAUAAAGACAUACCCGAGACAGGGAAGAAAAAGAGGCUUAAAUGGAUUAAGGGUUCCACAUAGCUGAGGAGGCCUCAGAGUUAUGGCGGUGGAUGAACAGCACUUCUUACAUGGCAGUGGCAAGAGAAUAUGAGAAGGAGGCAAAAGAAGCAAAAGACGAAACCACUAACCCAUCAGAUCUUGUGAGAUUUAUUCACUAUCACAAGAAUAGCAUGGGAAAGACCAGCCCCAAAGAUUCAACUACCUCCCCCUGAUUCCCUCCCCGAACACAUGGGAAUCCUGAGCAGUACAAUUCAAGUUGAGAUGUGGGUAGGGACAUAGUCAAACCAUAUUAUUCUGCUCCUGGCCCCUCCAAAUCUCAUGUCCUCACACUUCAAAUCCGAUCAUGCCUUCCCAACAGUCCCCCAAAGUCUUAACUCAUUUCAGCAUUAACCCAAAUGUCCCCUGUCCAAAGUCUCAUCUGAGACAAGGCAAGUCUCUUCUGCCUAUGACCCUGUAAAAUCCAAAUCAAGCUAGUUACUUCCUAGAUACAAUCGGGGUACAGGUAAUUGAGUAAAUACAGCUGUUCCAAAUGGGAGUAAUUGGCCAAAAAAAAGGGGUUACAGGCCCCAUGCAAGUCCAAAAUCCAGCAAGGUAAUCAAAUUUUAAAGCUCCAAAAUGAUCUCCUUUGACUCCCUGUUUCACAUCAUGGUCAUGCUGAUACAAGAGGUGGGCUCCCACAGCCUUGUGUAGUUCUGCCCCUGUGGCUUUGUAGGGUAUAGUCCACCUCGUGGCUGUUUUCAUGGACUGAUGUUGAGUGUCCAUAGCUUUUCCAGGCUCAUGGUGCAAGCUGUCAGUGAAUCUACCAUUCUGGGGUCUGGAGGAGAGUGGCCCUCUCCUCACAGCUCCACUAGGAAGUUCCCCA
ensembl:lncRNA FAM182A family with sequence similarity 182 member A